GACGAACGCUGGCGGCGUGCCUAAUACAUGCAAGUUGAGCGAUGAAGCUUGGUGCUUGCACCAAUUUGAAGAGCAGCGAACGGGUGAGUAACGCGUGGGGAAUCUGCCUUUGAGCGGGGGACAACAUUUGGAAACGAAUGCUAAUACCGCAUAAUAACUUUAAACAUAAGUUUUAAGUUUGAAAGAUGCAAUUGCAUCACUCAAAGAUGAUCCCGCGUUGUAUUAGCUAGUUGGUGAGGUAAAGGCUCACCAAGGCGAUGAUACAUAGCCGACCUGAGAGGGUGAUCGGCCACAUUGGGACUGAGACACGGCCCAAACUCCUACGGGAGGCAGCAGUAGGGAAUCUUCGGCAAAGGACGAAAGUCUGACCGAGCAACGCCGCGUGAGUGAAGAAGGUUUUCGGAUCGUAAAACUCUGUUGGUAGAGAAGAACGUUGGUGAGAGUGGAAAGCUCAUCAAGUGACGGUAACUACCCAGAAAGGGACGGCUAACUACGU
rnacentral:rRNA from 1 species